rnacentral:rRNA from 1 species
CAGUCGCCGCGGUAAUACGAAGGGUGCAAGCGUUACUCGGAAUUACUGGGCGUAAAGCGUGCGUAGGUGGUGGUUUAAGUCCGUUGUGAAAGCCCUGGGCUCAACCUGGGAAUUGCAGUGGAUACUGGGUCACUAGAGUGUGGUAGAGGAUAGUGGAAUUUCCGGUGUAGCAGUGAAAUGCGUAGAGAUCGGAAGGAACAUCUGUGGCGAAGGCGACUAUCUGGGCCAACACUGACACUGAGGCGCGAAAGCGUGGGGAGCAAACAGGAUUAGAUACCCCAGUAGUCCCUGUCUCUUAUAC